rnacentral:rRNA from 1 species
GACGAACGCUGGCGGCGUGCCUAAUACAUGCAAGUCGAGCGGAGUUUAGUUGAGUACUUGUACGAGACUGAGCUUAGCGGCGGACGGGUGAGUAACGCGUGAGCGACCUGGCCUAUACAGGGGGAUAACAGAGAGAAAUUUCUGCUAAUACCGCAUAAGACCACAGUACUGCAUGGUACAGGGGUCAAAGGAGAGAUUCGGUAUAGGAUGGGCUCGCGUCCCAUUAGCUAGUUGGAGGUGUAACGGACCACCAAGGCGACGAUGGGUAGCCGACCUGAGAGGGUGACCGGCCACACUGGGACUGAGACACGGCCCAGACUCCUACGGGAGGCAGCAGUAGGGAAUAUUGGACAAUGGGGGGAACCCUGAUCCAGCAACGCCGCGUGAAGGAAGAAGGUCUUCGGAUUGUAAACUUAUGUUGUCGGGACGAAGCGAGACGGUACCGACGAGGAAGCCCCGGCUAACUACGUG